CCCUAUGGGGUGCAGCAGGAACCAGAAGAGCAGCCCGGGCAUGUCUUUAAAGUAGGUCCCGAUCUGAUUACGGUGACCGUGGAAGACUACCAUGGCACUGCGAGUGGAAGUGCUGGCAGAGCCGACAUGCCGAACGACGGCAUUGGGCAGAUACAGGCAGCGGUAACCCUGCAACUGCAUGCGAAAGUCCAUAUCAACAUCUUCCAUAUAGGCGAAGAAGUCUUCAUGAAAGCCGUGGACGGACUCGAAGGCUUGUUUUGGAUAGACCCCAGCAGCGGCGCAGGCACUCAAAACAUAUUUCUCAGUGGCUGGGGGGGUGGAAAGAGGCUUGCCAUGGGACUUG
rnacentral:rRNA from 1 species